GUGGGUUUUACAUAUAGCACAUAGAUAACAAUAUUUACAAACGUUUGGAAUACUUACAUAGGCAUUUACACACAAAUAAGCACAAACACACAAAAGUCCACGAGAUGCGUCUCACUGUUGUGGCUCCCUCUGCGUACUGAACACCUGAGGAGCAGUGCGCAUGUCAUUGGGAGCCGAAUGUGACGCAAUGACGCUGUCUCUUAAAGGCACAGCAGGUAAGGGCAGGGAAAUUUGCACACUCAUUCACAUGAAGUGGUUUUGUUGUCAGUGAUUAUAUAAAGACCUGUUGCUUUCACACUCUUCAGUGGAUCAGCCAUGGACAAAGGUUUGCUGCUGGUCCUGUUGUGUCUGCAGGUCGUCCUGCUCACUACAGUCUUCACUUCUGCUGAUGCAGCUGCUCUGCUGAGAGACGAUCAGCAUCAACAACCUGUUGAUCCGACGAGAAGUCUGCAGCAAGUGAAAGAAGGAGGACAGAUGGAAAAAAAACGUCUAUUCCGGAGACACUGCGGGAGCAGACCAGGAGGAUGCACUUUGUUGGGAAGCAUGCUUCGGCCAGUACAACCCACUCUGAAACCAGACAUCUAGAGUCAAGCUCUGCAGGAAGUGCCAUCAGAUGCAGAAGACUGCAAAUGAAUGAAGAUAAUUGUAAUGCUUACAAAACAAUGCAAAUGCUCUUAACCAGAAAUAAAAGAUUUCUAAUCAG
ensembl:lncRNA